rnacentral:rRNA from 1 species
ACUCAAAGGAAUAGACGGGGGCCCGCACAAGCGGUGGAGCAUGUGGUUUAAUUCGAAGCAACGCGAAGAACCUUACCAAGGCUUGACAUGGAGACGCCGGGUGUAGAGAUACACCUUUCCUUCGGGACGUCUCACACAGGUGGUGCAUGGUUGUCGUCAGCUCGUGUCGUGAGAUGUUGGGUUAAGUCCCGCAACGAGCGCAACCCUUACGAUUUGUUGCCAGCAGGUGAAGCUGGGCACUCAAGUUGGACUGCCGUGGAUAACACGGAGGAAGGUGGGGAUGACGUCAAAUCAUCAUGCCCCUUACGUCUUGGGCUACACACGUGCUACAAUGGCCGGUACAAAGUGAAGCGAAAUGGCGACAUUAAGCGAACCACAAAAAACCGGUCCCAGUUCGGAUCGCAGUCUGCAACUCGACUGCGUGAAGUCGGAAUCGCUAGUAAUCGCAAAUCAGCAUGUUGCGGUGAAUACGUUCCCGGGCCUUGCACACACCGCCCGU